UAACCUUUUAAUGUUUCAUUUUUGAGCAGAGAUUUUCAGUUGCACUUAUUUUAGUCUGUUUGCUAACAGUGGUUUGAAGUGAUCAGUUUCUGUCAUGUUUCUGGACAGGCUGACUCAGCUGCUUCAGUGGAGAGUAAGCAAUUUAAGGAAGGAAGGAAGACCGUCCACUCUGUCUCCGUCUGUGCAUCUGAAGAUCCAGAGCAGACUCUGCAGUUAUUUGCUGAUGUGCAAAUUGUCCAAUUGGCCAUCCAAAAGAUGAAUGGCAAUUGUCAUUCUGUCCACGAUGCCCAUCCAGAAUAUACUGGACUUCUCCACCAAGCUGGUAUGGAUGACGGAGCUUAGCUCCUGCAGCACUCUUACCAUCCAUGGCUCUUUGUAGCUUGGACCAUUCAGAUGGAGUGAGGUAAACCCAGACCUAGUGUGUUGGGGUCGUGGAAUAUGAGUGUAACUGUCUAUUGGUAAAACAACCAAUCAUGAUCUUGAAAGAAAAAGAACUUGAUGUUUUGUUGUUGUUUUUUUUUUUUUUUCAAAUAAAUAGAGCAAAUACAUCA
rnacentral:lncRNA from 1 species